rnacentral:rRNA from 1 species
GACGGGGGAUGCAAGUGUUAUCCGGAAUAAUUGGGCGUAAAGCGUCUGUAGGUGGUUUACCAAGUCUGUUGUUAAAAAUCAGGGCUUAACCCUGAUCCGGCAACAGAAACUAGUAGGCUGGAGUACGGUAGAGGCAGGCGGAAUUCCGGGUGUAGCGGUGGAAUGCGUAGAGAUCCGGAAGAACACCGGUGGCGAAGGCGGCCUGCUGGG